GUGCUUCUGGGGUCUGACUGGUUUGGUGCUGACCAGAAGCUGGGUGGGCAACAGCGGGACCCACCACGAAGGAUCUUUGCUGAAAGCAUUGUCGCUCAGUGGGGCAGUGAGGGCCUGUUCCGCAGUUCAUGUGUUCAACAGAAACUCAUCGCACUGAUUAUUUCUCACCACUGCUUCCCUUGGGGUUUCCCAAAUGGCUAAAUGACAGGGGUGUUUGAGAGUGCUAAAAAGAACCCUAGUGGUUUCCAUCUGUGUAAUGGACUAUCCUGAGAGGAAUUGCAUAUGUGUCCCCAGUCAGCAAGUUAGUCGCUGGUCUACUUCCCUCUUGUCAUAACGUGGAACAAGAGGAAUAGUUUAAAGAUGCGAGUAAUAUCUGAGAGAAAGCCCUGUGUUUGAAAGUGUCACUGAAAUGUCAUCAAAGAGGAACGGACUGGCUGCUGUUCUAUGCUGCUGCUGGACAAGUGGGCUGCUGUGGCUUUGUACCACUCCUACGCCUGCAGUUUGUAGUUCUGGAGUACAGAGACUUGACUCGUACUCUGACUGAAUGCUGUGAAGCCAACAGGCUGUGGUUAGAUCUUGUUGGGUGUAUCUUUUACAAAGACAUGAAAAUUUGAUUUAAUGACUCCACGUUAAUUGCCUUGCUCCUUUCCAGGGCUAACUUUUACCGCUUUUGUGGAAGUGCCGUAAGGCCAUAAUCCAACCCUCUGAGGAAAGUACACGGGAAGAUGCCACACAUACAUCUACUGACAGAAAAUUGGCCUCCGUCAGAACCUGGGAAUGCGCUGCUAUGGGGAGCUGAUUGCUCUGCUGAAAUCAAACCAUAAAGAGUGCAGGUCUGCCUCUUAUUUAAGACAAAGUUGAGACUUUUAUGGAAGAAGCUGCAUUUUAGACCUCAUACGAAGAAGAAAGAUUCUUCUGAAAGUGGAAAUCAGCAUAGGAAAGUGUAAGAGGCAGAGCUCACAAAGGAACAGAAGGAGUGCAGAGGGAAUCAGCAAUUGUCUCUUGGGAGAAGAAGGAAAGACAUGAAAGGGACUGCGGUAAAGCAAAAGAAUGCAUCUGACAAUCUGACAAGAACAAGGAAAGUGAAUCAGAAGUUGAAUUCAAAAAUCUAACAUAGUUCUGAGCUGCAUGAUCAAGCCAGGCUUUGUUCCACGCUACUGCUUCCAAAACUGCUGACACAGCAGACGUGAGAAUACAGGUUCAGAGAAUCACGAAGGGAUAAAUGGGCAAAUUUGCUCGGUGCUUGUUGUUGCAGAAGUCUUUGUGCUGAGCAUUUAUUCUCCAGUGGUUAGAAGGGACAAGCCCAGCUCAACUGGUACUUUGUUAAAAAGAAUUUCCUGUAGACUGCACUGAAAGUGGAUACUUCAUGCUAUUCAUUAAAGCUCAGUGAUAAAGCUCAGAUUUCUGGUUCCAAACCCAACGAAAGCAGGUACCAAUGUUCAAUGCCCAUACCUAAUAUACUGGCUUGUGAGAUACCAGAAUCCUGAUUCAAGAAGACAGAAGAUCACUGGCAGGAACAGAAGAAAAUGAGUCUAGAAAAGAAAAAGCUGUCUUGAGAAGAUUCAAUUUUCAUUGUUAAACCAACUAAAAGGUGACUUUGAAGAAGAAGAUAAACUUUCCACACUGGUGAUGGAUUCUUUUUCCUGCUAUUUUGAUUAAAAAUGAAGCUGAAAAUCUUUUAAAGCUUUAGAGACAGAAUUCCUUCAGCAAACAAGAGAAUGAGAAGAGCGUCAGGUAGCGGUGUGAACUUCUGCAUUGCCUUGAAUAUGUGCUGCUCUGUGGAAGAACCGUUUCUAGAAGUAGGCACCAGAGGGAGAAGAUGGAUGGAAGAUAGGGUGCAUUACAAAGGCUGUUCAAGGUUUGGAAAUUAAAGGUAAGGGAAAUGCUGUAACCAGACAUAUAGAAAAUCAGUGAUUGAAUGAAGACUAGAAUUUCAGCCUCUUGAUGCCUUGUGUAGUGUUUCACCUCUGCCAUCAUUUCUGAGAAACCAGUCCUGUUUAUCUUCAGUUAUUUCUUGACUAUGCUUGCUACUCUGCACUUCCAUCCUGUCCAAUGCAGUAGAGAGUAAGCAGUACAGCACGCUUUAAAUAGAUGCUUUUUCAGACUAUGUUCACAUUUAGUUUUUUUGUUUUGUUUUGUUUUGUUUUGUUUUUUAAUAUAGCAGGAACACUGGAAACACUGAGCAUGUGAAAUUGUUAAUAUUUUCAGUUGAUUAGAUGAAAGAAAUAUCUGGUUCUGGUUCUAUUUUAGAGAAAUAGUGCAAUGAGCAAAAGAGCAAUGCACUUUGUCUUUUGGACAAUUGCUCUGAAGACUUGUAUAAAUCUGACACAUUUCUUGUAUUUUUUUAAUUUCAUUCUUGAGAUUCUGCUUGGGAAGGAGUAGUUUUAAAAAUUCAUUAUUUUUUGAUUGCAAGCUGGAUGUCAGCCAACUAAAUUUUUGAAUUUGAAAGAAAAUGCAGCAUCAGCUUCUCCGGAACUAUAAUGGAAUGAAACCCUCCAAGCACUCAUUAAAAGGGCUUCUGACGUCUAGCAAAAUUAGAAGAGGUGUAAAUCACUGAAAUACCAUAUGUGGAUUUGAAAUGGAAUACUUAAUUCUGGAGAACCAGAACCUAAGGCUAUGGGAAAAUUUAACUACACCAGCAUAAUAUUUUGAUGAUGGAAAGCGUAAUACCAUUACAAAGGCUUUAUGUUUAAUUUUAAAAAAUGUUUACAGGGGGAAUCUCCAUUGAUAUCUAAAUUGCUAUCUGGCAUAUAGGCAAAUGCUUGAGGAGUUUAAUAACUUUCCUCCACUGAAGAUUUUCUAAGUGAUUUACAAAUAUUAUUGGAAAAGUCUGACUGUAAAAGCUUGAUAAUAAUUAUUUAUUCCCUUAGCUUCCUUCUGAUGAUUUUAUGUCCCUUGAUACUGCCCAUGUCAGAGAAGUUUGCUAUUGCUCCUUGGUCACUCCAGGAUGGAGUUGGUUCCAUUGUGGGACAGAAGGGACCAGGGACUAUGAAACAGCUUGCCUUUGAUUUUCAACGUAUUCAAAAUGCGACUGGAAAAUGCCAUUUUUUCCCCCCCAAUAAUGUAACAGUAGUAGCAUCACUAAAUAUUUCUGCUCCUGUUGUUUCCACUGACCCUUGUUAGGAAUGGGGCUUCAUUAUUCUGGUGCCAUGCAAAUUUCAAAGGAAGAAUGCCUGCCCUGAAGUGUUUGUACACUUGGAGAGCAAACAGGCAUAAUGAAAGUGAUGUGAGUGCAUUACAUGAACAAAAAAGAGGAGAACUGGUCUCACUUUGUUAUACAUUAAGGGCUUUCUAUUGUUGUAUUUAAGGAAUUCAAUUUUAAUCCCUUUUGACUCUAUGUGGAAUAUGACUUUGUGAGAUCAUAUAGUUUAUCACAUGGUUUUCCAUUUUUUUAAGUCAUCAGGCUGUGAUUCAGUAUGGUGUUGCCCUUGUGAAAGCAGGCAAGGAUUCAUUUCAGAUGCAGCAAAAGUGUAACUGCCUCAACAUAAAAACCUGUUUAAACAGAAAAUCAUUUUUAUUUUCUUGUUUAUAUUGCAUAUAAGAAUGGAAUACUUCUGUACAGCAACAUACUUCAUUGUGAUGGGAUGGAUGAACAGAGUUUGAUUGCUCAAAGAGAGAGAUGUGUUCAUCUCUUUCAGCCAGACAAGGUGGGUCUUGGGAAUUACAUUUUAAGAGGAAUGGUGCUGAAGGCAAGGGAGAGAUCAUGUGAGAAAACCUGCAUUUGAGGAAAUCUUAUGCAGAAUUUCAAAUUUAUUGACUUACGAAUAAAGACAUUCUUCAGAAAAGGAAUGAGCUUUGAAAGACUCAGGAUAUGCAGCACUGUGCUGAGAAUAAGGAAGAGAUUUGGUCCCUUCUCAUUGUUCUCUGGAGUGGGGAAGCAGAGCAGUGUGUUGGGAUCAAAGGAUGCCUGGUAAUUUAUUUUGUGUCCUUUUCUACAGCUACUUUGAUAUCCAGCAUAAGCUGAAAUGAAUAACAUUCAUUUCUUGAGGAAAAUGUGGUGCAUUUGAAAACCAGUGUUCAAAUGAGCAAUAAUCCAGACUGGCUUCCUUUGUGUUAUCCAAAGCAGCAGCGUCUUCAGCUUGAGAUAAGGAUGUCCUCUGACUCAGGCACAUGACAGACAGGCCUUGGAUGAAGCUAUAAUCUUGUACUUCCCCAUAGACAUCAUGCCAGAAGGUUCAGAAGUAAGGCCAGAGAGAAGUUAGCCAGCAAGAAAAGAAUCUAAUCUGCCCAAACAACGUAUCUGGGGAGGUUUGUGGAGUGAGGGCUCUAUUUUUGCCCAGAUUUCAAAGUAAUAUAAUCUGUUCACAUAUUUGUUCCCCUCCAUAACUGUUUUUUUACAAUUACAUAUUUUAUUUUUAUUAUUAUUAUUUUUUUAGACCUAUCCGCUUGCUACCUAGCAACAUGUAAUCAGAUUUUAUGACUCAAAUACGUGAAAACUGAGGACGGUGAUCAAGAAAGAGGAGGGUUAUCACCAAAUGGGUUAUCAAGAAAGACACAAAUAAGAGAUAGUAGUUUCUUAAAUACACAUUUGCACUUAUGGCCUUUUCCUCUCAAUUCCCAGACUGUAGUACCUAAGAAGUUUAUUCUCUUUAAUUGUAGACAACAAAAAUAUGCUGAAAGCUCAGUCUAAGCCUACCCUGCAAAUGACAAGCUGUCAUUCUGCUUGUAUAAUUUUCUGACAUUCUUCAGAGAGAUGUGGGCAUCUGUUUUUGCCCUCACAGGAAACAUCCAUAUUGUCUGCUAUUUAUAAAAUUGUCAUUCAUUUUGUAUUUGUAUUCAUAUGCAACCUUGGACAUCAAACGGACUUUUUAUUCAAGGCAUUUAUGGUGCCUUACUGGAGAUUGUCCCUCUCAGCUGGGGAAGUAUCACCAGGAUCUUAGUGCUUUUUAAACAAAAAAAAAGGCUGCUGUAGUUACAGAACUUAAGAAGUAUGCUAAUAAUGUUUGAGCGUGCGUGUGCAUGUGUGUUCAUGUUGAGAUAACCCACCAAACCAUACGAUAUUAGGACCAUGUCAGACUACUGCAGUGAUGGGUGAUGUAGGCAACACAGUAUAAUUUUGUAAGGCAUUCAUGCUGGUCAUAUCCUUUACAUGAUAUCUCCAUACUACGCUGCAUUGAUAGAACCAUGAAUGCUAACAACAGAAUUAAAUAAGUAAAAAAAAAAAGAAUGCAACUUAU